rnacentral:rRNA from 1 species
GAAUCCCGUCUUUGGCAUGGAUGACCGGGGCUUUUGUGAUGCGCUCUCGAAGAGUCGAGUUGUUUGGGAAUGCAGCUCAAAAUGGGUGGUGAACUCCAUCUAAAGCUGAAUAUUGGCGAGAGACCGAUAGCGAACAAGUACCGUGAGGGAAAGAUGAAAAGCACUUUGGAAAGAGAGUGAAACAGUACGUGAAAUUGUUGAAAGGGAAACGCUUGAAGUCAGUCGCGUCGGCCGAGACUCAGCCUUGCCUCGGCUUGGUGUACUUCUUGACCGACGGGUCAGCAUCAAUUUUGCCCCUUGGAUAAUGGCGAGGGAAAUGUGACACCUUUAUAGGUGUGUUAUAGUCUCUCGUCGCAUGCAAGGGUCGGGAUUGAGGAACUCAGCACGCGCCUUCGGGCGUCGGGGCCUUGCCCACGAUACGUGCUUAGGAUGUUGGCGUAAUGGCUUUAAACGACCCGUCUUGAAACACGGACCAAGGAGUCUAACAUGCCCGCGAGUGUUCGGGUGGAAAACCCGUGCGCGCAAUGAAAGUGAAAGUUGGGACCUCUGUCGCGGAGGGCACCGACGCCCGGACCAGAGCUUCUGCGACGGAUCUGCGGUGGAGCGUGUAUGUUAGGACCCGAAAGAUGGUGAACUAUGCCUGAAUAGGGUGAAGCCAGAGGAAACUCUGGUGGAGGCUCGUAGCGAUUCUGACGUGCAAAUCGAUCGUCAAAUUUGGGUAUAGGGGCGAAAGACUAAUCGAACCAUCUAGUAGCUGGUUCCUGCC